rnacentral:rRNA from 1 species
CCUGACGGUAGUCGUAUGCUCGUCUCCGAGACUAAGCCAUGCAAGUCCAAGUACACGUCCUUGAACGACGGAAACUGCGAACGGCUCAUUAAAUCAGUUGCGAUCUACUCGGCGUUCCGCGCCGCCGGAUAACCGUAGUAAUUCGUAGGGCUAAUACGUGCGAAGCGCCCGAAGCCGCGAGGCGACGGCGUUCUCGCCGGAUGUAGGAACCGACCCGGGGACCGCCGGGGCAACCCGGCGCCCCCGAGACGGGGCGAACCACGGUGAAAUGACGGAUCGUCGGCCCCGCGCCGGCGACUCGCCGAAUGAGUUUCUGACCUAUCAACUCGAGACGGCGGGGUAGAGGCCCGCCGCGGUAACGACGGGUAACGGGGAAUCAGGGUUCGAUUCCGGAGAGGGAGCCCGAGAAACGGCUACCACUUCCAAGGAAGGCAGCAGGCGCGCAACUUACCCUAAUCUCGAUUCGAGGAGGU